GAUCCUGGCUCAGGAUGAACGCUGGCGGCGUGCCUAACACAUGCAAGUCGAACGAAGCAUACGGACUGGAGAUUCGUCGAAGGACUGUAUGACUUAGUGGCGGACGGGUGAGUAAUGUAUGAGCAACCUGCCUUUCAGAGGGGGACAACAGUUGGAAACGACUGCUAAUACCGCGUAAUGUAUCGUGAGGGCAUCCUCGUGAUACCAAAGGAGCAAUCCGCUGAAAGAUGGGCUCAUAUCUGAUUAGCUUGUUGGCGGGGUAACGGCCCACCAAGGCGACGAUCAGUAGCCGGACUGAGAGGUUGAACGGCCACAUUGGGACUGAGAUACGGCCCAGACUCCUACGGGAGGCAGCAGUGGGGAAUAUUGGGCAAUGGGCGAAAGCCUCGACCCAGCAACGCCGCGUGAAGGAAGAAGGUCUUCGGAUUGUAAACUUCUUUUAUGAGGGACGAAGGACGUGACGGUACCUCAUGAAUAAGCCACGGCUAACUACGUGCCAGCCGCCGC
rnacentral:rRNA from 1 species